AGCGAACGCUAGCGGCAUGCUUAAUACAUGCAAGUCGAACGGAAUUUAGAGUAAAUUUUAGCUUGCUAGAAUUUAUUUUGAAUUUAGUGGCAAACGGGUGAGUAAUAUACAAGAAUUUGCCCAGUAGUGGGGAAUAACAAUUAGAAAUAAUUGCUAAUACCGCAUAAGCCCGAGAGGGGAAAGGUGCAAAUCGCUAUUGGAGAAGCUUGUAUCCGAUUAGCUUGUUGGUAGAGUAAAAGCCUACCAAGGCUAAGAUCGGUAGCCGGUCUGAGAGGAUGAUCGGCCACAUUGGGACUGAGACACGGCCCAA
rnacentral:rRNA from 1 species